rnacentral:rRNA from 1 species
UUAAAUUGAAGAGUUUGAUCAUGGCUCAGAUUGAACGCUGGCGGCAGGCCUAACACAUGCAAGUCGAGCGGAAACGAGUUAUCUGAACCUUCGGGGAACGAUAACGGCGUCGAGCGGCGGACGGGUGAGUAAUGCCU